UUGCCAUUUUAUCUUCUAUCCAGAGAGAGUAGACGCAGAGUGCCGCCUCUGCUUCCUUCCCCAGCUGCAUCAAGUUCAGCUUGCGAUUGCUCCCAAAUGACGAAAUUAUCUAUCCUGCGAUUCCCAAUUGACGGCAUUCACCGCGUCGUCGCUCAGAAUCGGCUUCCAUGGCUUCUCUAGCUUACAAUCCCUACUGGCCCGAACUCCAGGCCAGGUUCAUGGAUGUCCCUGAAGCUCCUUCUCGGCCUCACCGUCAUUUCUUUGGUCGACGCAGUCUCUUCUGUUCUUGGCUUCUUGGCACCGAAAGGAUUCUAUCACCGUAUACUUGCCACCAAAUACAGGAGCAUGUAUUCAAAUUCACUCUUCGUAUGGGGGGUUAUAAUUCUCUUAUAAAAUCCCCUGUGAUGUCUAUCAGGAAAGGAAACUCAACAAACGUCAAAGGAUUCUGCAAAGUAGUUUGGGCUGUAGAAGCUGAUUUGGCAGAUGGUCAGCUUCUGUACAUAACUGGGGAUCCUAGUGUCUUAGGCUGCUGGGAACCAGAGCUGGCUAUUCUAAUGGCCCCAACUGACCAUCGUAACUUAUGGAAAGCUGAAGUCAAGAUAGCUUGUGGCAUAAAUUUCAAGUAUAACUAUUUUAUAAAAGGAGAUACAUGGUCCUCAUGUGAUAUUAUUUGGAGACCAGGACCUGAACGCUCUCUCUCAAUACCUUUACUUAGAAAACAAGAUAAGAAAAUUGUAGUGAGGGAUUCAUGGAUGAGAUUUGAGGCCACAGGGCCUUCAGUGCCUUUGUGGGGGUCUUGGAUGGAGGAGGCAAAUCUAACCUUGCAGCCUUUAAUCUCAGAUCCAGCUAGAGAUGAAUGCAAGAUUUUUAAAGGCUUUAGAAGUGAUUCUUUAGAGUCAAAGCAAUUACCUAAUGAAAUCCCUGUCAGGGAUGACCAAUGCUCUGGUAAUGAGGGUGCAGUUAGUGCUGUUAGCAUGGGUGCAGAGUCUAUUAGGUCAAUUUCUCAAGAAGACCAGCCUGUCGAGGAGCCCUGGUUACUACAUUCAUCUUCUUUCUUUAUUGUGCCCAAGAAGAAGAUGGGUUCUGAUGAAAUCAAAAGGAAGGAAGCUAUGCAAGAUGAGGUGCAUCUGCCACAGUUUCCUAAUCAGCAGCUUAUGGAUGUGGAAAAUCUGUUGCCUGAAGAAGGGGCUAGUCAAAUCUUCAUGGAUGACUCUAUUUCUACUGUUAUUCUUAUUAACUCUUCAAUAUGUACGAUGCAAAGGAUUGCUGUAUUAGAAGACGGGAAAUUGGUUGAAUUGUUACUGGAACCAGUGAAAAAUAAUGUUCAAUGUGAUAGUGUUUAUCUAGGGGUUGUCACAAAGCUUGUUCCUCAUAUGGGUGGGGCAUUUGUAAAUAUUGGGAAUUCUAGACCAUCUCUUAUGGACAUAAAUCAUAAUCGGGAGCCAUUCAUAUUUCCUCCAUUUCAUCAUAGAACAAAAGAAAAAGAAAUUGAUAAUUCUGUGUUUGGUGCGAAUAGAAAACAACCAGGAGCCUAUGAGAAUGAAUGCAGUUCACAUGAAGAUAUCGAUGUAAUUGAUGAUAUCAUAGAAGUUGAUUUUCAGGAUGAUCCAUUGCAAUUUGAAAAUGAUGAUUUUGAGGAGCAUGAAGUUGAGAAUGACUUCUGCAUUCCUGAAGUUCUUAAGGAGAAUGUGAAUGGUGGUAUACUGAAUCGUGCUGGCGUAGAAGCUGAUUUUGAGGACUACAUAGAUGGAGCAGAGCAGCGUCUGGAAGGUGAUGCCAUUAAUAAUUCUUGUUAUGUUGAAACAUGUGGUCUUAAUGAUUACCAAGUGAAGGUUUCCAGGCAUGCGACCAUCAACAAGAAGUGGGCCGAAGUGAAGAAAGGCACUAAAAUAAUUGUUCAGGUUGUUAAAGAGGGAUUGGGUAAAAAAGGUCCUACUCUGACUGCUUAUCCGAAAUUGAGGAGCAGGUUCUGGAUAUUGAUCACACGAUGCAAUAGAGUUGGUAUUUCAAAGAAAAUUUCUGGUGCUGAGCGUACUCGCUUGAGGGUCGUAGCAAAAACUUUGCAGCCUCCAGGUUUCGGUUUGACUGUAAGAACUGUGGCUGCUGGUCAUUCCUUAGAGGAAUUGCAGAAAGACUUGGAAGGCUUGCUCUCAACUUGGAAAAACAUAACAGAGCAUGCAAAAUCUGCGGCUCUUGCUGCAGAUGAAGGUGUGGAGGGGGCAAUUCCCGUUAUUUUGCAUAGGGCAAUGGGUCAAACACUCUCCAUUGUCCAGGAUUACUUUAAUGAGAAGGUGAUGCGCAUGGUAGUUGACUCUCCAAGGACUUAUCAUGAGGUGACUAACUAUCUUCAGGAAAUUGCCCCCGACCUUUGUGAUCGAGUUGAGUUAUACAAGAAAAGAAUCCCUCUUUUUGAUGCAUUCAACGUUGAAGAAGAGAUCAAUAAUAUCCUUAAUAAGCGGGUCUCGCUUGCAAAUGGAGGUUCUCUUGUGAUUGAACAAACUGAGGCAUUAGUCUCUAUUGAUGUAAAUGGAGGACAUGGUAUGUUUGGUCGUGGGAUUUCACAAGAGAAAGCAAUUCUUGAUGUCAACCUUGCAGCGGCAAACCAGAUUGCAAGGGAAUUACGACUGAGGGACAUUGGUGGCAUUAUUGUGGUAGAUUUCAUCGAUAUGAUGGAUGACUCAAAUAAAAGAUUGGUCUAUGAAGAAGUUAAGAAGGCUGUCGAGAGGGACAGAUCAAUGGUUAAAGUUUCUGAGUUGUCGAAGCACGGACUUAUGGAAAUAACAAGGAAAAGGGUUAGACCCAGUGUGACAUUCAUGAUCAGUGAACCGUGCGCUUGCUGUCAUGCAACUGGGAGAGUUGAAGCUCUGGAAACCUCCUUUUCAAAAAUAGAACAUGAAAUUUGUCGAUUUCUUGCAAUGAUGGAUAAGAAACCAGAGCCAGAAAAUCCAAAGUCCUGGCCAAGAUUCAUACUGAGAGUUGACCAUUACAUGUGUAACCACUUAACUUCAGGGAAAAAGACAAGACUUGCAACCUUGAGCAGUUCUCUCAAAGUUUGGAUUCUUCUAAAGGUUGCCAGAGGUUUUACCAGAGGUGCGUUUGAGGUAAAACCAAUUACAGAUGACAAAGUGAAUGGUAAUCGACAUCAAGUUCCCAUUUCCAUGUUGCAAUCUGCAGAGGCUGGAACUUAUAAUCCCAGCAGAAAAGUUACUCUUUUUCCUGUCAAGAAAUCAAAGACCCAUGAGAGAUGAAAUUGCAAGAUUCGUUGCUUUUUUUCCCCUUUCUGUUCAAAGACACUGGUUUUGGUUCGUGCAUCUUUUGUUGGUGGCGGCAUGUAGUUGAGUCAGAUGUUACGAUACGUGGACGACGUCCAGAUGUCCAUGUUUCCUUCGCCGACAUGAUAACACAUGGACGACCUCCAGAUGCCCCUUUUGUUCGUUGCUACGAAGGAACUCAUGGUGUAUCUAGAAGAAGUUUUAGUGUGAGAAAGACCCUAGUAGAGAUGCCGAAGCAAAUCUGAGAUCAAGACCCCUUAUGGGCCCCACAUGGAUCCAUAUUAGGCCCCACACGGUUGGGCCUCCCCUUUGACUUACUUUGUAUUAUUGCAAGAUAACUUAGCUUGCAAGUGAACUUAGUAUUUAAUAUGUGUUGUAAGUUGUGUGCUUAGUAUUUAAUAUGUGUUGUAAGUUGUGUGCUUAUUAAGUGUGUCUAGAAAAUGAGAGUUUUUAUUAUGUUUGAAAAUUGUGAGUGUGUUGAGAGUUGUGUCUCCCAUGCUUACAUGGGAAUUAAUUGUGUGCAUUUAUUUUGUCCCCCCAUGCUAGCUUAGCAAGUUAUGUUUAUGUCUUCCCCUUCCCUAUGUGAAGUCUCUAUAUAUUUCCAUUGUAAUUGUUGUAACAAUAGUAAGCUAGAGAAUAUAUUGUUAUUCAGUUAAA